rnacentral:rRNA from 1 species
CCUACGGGAGGCAGCAGUAGGGAAUAUUGCUCAAUGGGGGAAACCCUGAAGCAGCAACGCCGCGUGGAGGAUGAAGGUUUUCGGAUUGUAAAGUACUUUUGUUAGAGAAGAUAAUGACGGUAUCUAACGAAUAAGCACUGGCUAACUCCGUGCCAGCAGCCGCGGUAAUACGGAGGGUGCAAGCGUUACUCGGAAUGACUGGGCGUAAAGUGCGCGUAGGCGGGAUAGCAAGUCAGAUGUGAAAUCCUAUGGCUUAACCAUAGAACUGCAUUUGAUACUGGUAAGCUAGAGUAUGGGAGAGGUAGGUGGAAUUCUAGGUGUAGGGGUAAAAUGCGUAGAGAUCAGGAGGAAUACUGAUUGCGAAGGCGACCUGCUGGAACAUAACUGACGCUGAGGCGCGAAAGCGUGGGGAGCAAACAGGAUUAGAUACCCGUGUAGUC